rnacentral:rRNA from 1 species
UACGAAGGGGGCUAGCGUUGCUCGGAAUCACUGGGCGUAAAGCGCACGUAGGCGGAUUGUUAAGUCAGGGGUGAAAUCCUGGAGCUCAACUCCAGAACUGCCUUUGAUACUGGCGAUCUCGAGUCCGGGAGAGGUGAGUGGAACUGCGAGUGUAGAGGUGAAAUUCGUAGAUAUUCGCAAGAACACCAGUGGCGAAGGCGGCUCACUGGACCAUAACUGACGCUGAGGCACGAAAGCUAGGGGAGCAAACAGG